rnacentral:rRNA from 1 species
UACGUAGGGUGCAAGCGUUGUCCGGAAUUAUUGGGCGUAAAGAGCUCGUAGGCGGUCUGUCGCGUCGGCUGUGAAAACCCGGGGCUCAACCCCGGGCCUGCAGUCGAUACGGGCAGACUAGAGUGCGGUAGGGGAGACUGGAAUUCCUGGUGUAGCGGUGAAAUGCGUAGAUAUCAGGAGGAACACCGGUGGCGAAGGCGCUCAUCUGGCCCAAUACUGACGCUGAGGCGCGAAAGCUAGGGGAGCAAACGGG